AAAUCAUAAAAAAAAAAAAAAAAAAAAACAACAGAAGUGUCCUGCUGGAGAUAAGAUAGAUGCUGGUGUGGAGCAUCUGGGAGCAGUGAAAGAGGAAGGUUAGACCAGCAUUGCUGAGAUUAUUACUGAAACCAAGAUUAUAAGUAAUUAAGGUUUUGAAAGUUUGGUCCAGGUGCACAAUAGACUACUCAGUAUCUUGGAUUCCUGAGCUGGGGUCAGGUUAACUAUUAAAAGAGGACCAAACAUAUUUCUAACAAAACCCGCAGUUUACUUAAAGCCCACGCAAUUCCUGCUGCUGCUUUAGAACGCCUUGCUUUGAGCCUUCUCUUCUGGGCUCUCGGGAGAUCUAAUGUUGACCCCCUUGCGGGCCUAGAUUAACGAUGUCUUGCUUCGGUGUGGUGUUAAAUCGGCCUGCGCACGUUCCACCCGGGAUGGAUGUCCCUCACCGCAACGUUCGCUGCGAUCAAACGGACGCACGGCCCCAGGAUUAAUGGGGACCCGCUAUCACUGCAUUUCUUCUUCACCCUGAACUCCCUCUGCAAAGACUAAGUGCUGGGCCUGCACGCAGAUGCUUGCUGGCUGGCUUCCUCAGAAAGAACAGAUUGCAGAAGCACGCAAGCCGUAACUGCCAUGUACCUAGAAUCUACUUUAUCGGGCCUCCUUUUGCAGGAGCUUUGAUCUGGAGGAUGCGGUCACAUUUUGCUUGGAGGUACGAAUUGUCUAGAAAAACCCAAAAAAGAAGAACACGCCCUUAAAUAACUCCUCAAACUGAAUUUAAAAAAUUCCUGGGCCUCAGCCCAGAGCUACUGACUGAGAAAAUCUGGGAGCGAGUCUGGAAGCCGCCUCUUUACCAAUAUCUUCAGGUGAUGCCGAUGAAGCUACAUUGAAAACAUCACUGAGAUCAAGCGUAGGAAGCCAACCCCUCGCUCAGGACUUGAUACACAGGAAGAGCUUAAGAAAUGCCAACCUUCCUUCCUGCCCCCUCCACCUCUUUGCACGGGACCCGUGAAGAAAGAAACAGAGGACGACCGAUUGCAUUUGAUGCAACAAUGACCAUUUCAUGUGACAACAGCAAAAAAAUCAAGUGGUAAGUUGUUUUCUACACUGAAGAACUCACCAGUCACCUCCGGCUGUAAGUGAUGUUGGCUGUUCGGGUUAUAAAACUGUCUGCUUUAUUGAUUUAUCUCCUUCGUUAUGCAUUUGGGCACAACUGCAUUGUGCGUGAUUCAGAUCUGCUAAUGCGUGUGCCGGGGCAGAGAGGGGCUGGAGGGAGACACAUCGUGCUAUGUGACAGAGGGAACUCCCUAGAGAUAGUCAUGCAAACCUGAGACUUCAAUGAACAGAAAGAACCAGUGACUUUGUAGCAAACGCACCAGACUGAUGUUCUUUUUUUUUCUUCUUCUUUCUUCCAAUUAUAAAGGGAGUGGACAGAGGGAAUGUACUAGAUGUAAUUUGUUCCAGGUUCAAAAAAGCGUAUUUGUGCCUUAUGAAAUCUUAUGAGAAAAGUGGAAUUCAAAUUGGCUUGGAGAUGAGAGCUGUCAAAUAGAUUGAAAGCUGGAUUAUAAACCAAGACUAAUGAGAGCCUACGAUGUGCGCAAAGUUAGGGAUGGAGUCCAAGAGGAUCGCUACAAGGUCUUACAGGGGAGGUAAACAGCCUAUUAAGGUAGCAGAUGGUGGUAAAUUGGGAGAUGUUUCAGAUUCCAAGGACAAAAAAAAAAAAAAAAGAAAAAGAAAAGAAAUGAAAGCAUGGGAUCUGUAUUGGGUAGUUAGAAACCCCAGCACGAAAUCAAUGACAGGAAAAUAGUAAGAGCCGCAGGUAGUCUUGGAAGAGAGCGGUGUUUGGAGUACCAUGGGAGUUAAAAAGAGACGAGAAAUGUUAGUGGAAUGGCUUAGAAGCUGCUGGAGAGAGUGAUCCAUGAUGCAGUAGCAUAGUUUCAGGGACCCAGCAGGUUGGCUUGGGUAUGUGUGGUAACGAGUUUCUGGGUAAGGUUGGUCUUAAGAUCUCCCCAGUGAGCAUUUGCAGACAAGGAAGUUGCCUGAGUAGAAGGAGCGAAGUUGCAUGUAAACUGCAGGAGUUGUGAAGUUGCAUCGUGAAGUAAAUUAGUGUAGGGGGAAAAAGUAGGCGGGUGAGAUAACCAGUGUGAUUUGACCAGGAUAAGAAGGCGAAGGGAUCAAGGAGAAUAAGGGUUUUGGACCGCGCAGAUUGGGGACCAUCACUGACUCUUCUAUUUACCUUCAGGUAAUUGCUUAGCCUUUCGGAGUCUUUUCUCCACUAAUAAAGCGAGGACAAGAUUUCUUACCUUCCAUAAGUAUUGUCAUUCGGGUGAGAUUUGUGUACCGAUCAGCAGGAACAUGGUAAGUUUUGAACCCAGGCAGGCUCGUCCUUCCAUAACGAAUGCGAUCUGUACCUACUUUUAGAAGGAGGUGGUGAGAGGUGGUAGGGGAAACUUUGGGAAGCAAAUAAAUGUUCCCAUUUCUCAUCUUCUAGAAGUUGGUUGUACUCUGUUCUUAUUACAAUGGAGUCUCAUCUGACUCAGGGGUUAGAUUCAAAAGCCAUCCCGUGAGGCGAGGAUCACGUAUGGUCAAAACUAUCCUUGAAAAUGCCUGAAGGUGCCCAUAAAAUAUACUACUGUGCUGUCUCUCAAAGAGUUCUCUCCAGCCAGUUCUUCUUCCAGUGUCGGGACGGAUUAAAUUUCUUCUUUUGCAGCCGAGCACCAGGCGACGUCGUUGGCUUGCGCUUUGGGCCACGCUCUACGAAAAAUGCUUAACUUUUGACAUGAAGACGGCACCUGGCCUGGAGGGCCGCUCACACCAGAGGGGCGCCCUGGAAGGCAGGGCAGGGGCUGGGGCUCCCACGUCAUGCUGACUCCACACCCCUGCCGGGCAGGUCCUAGACGCUUAAUCUUUUCAGGACAUCUCAUCACCUUCCAGCAUCUGAAAUCACCAUGUUUGCCUGCAACGUGUGGACUAGGGAGAAAUGACUGUUUCAGUUGUGCAGGCUAGUCCACCACCUUUCAUCCAAGAAAUCCGUGUCCCAAAGUGACUUUCUGACAGUUGGUAUUCAAUGCCUUACGGCAUUGUUGAGAAUGCUGAAGAAGCAGACUAGGUUGUCCAUUCAAGAAAGAGUCCCACAUCUGGAGUGCAGAACUGACUGAAAUAUGGGCUCUUCGAUGGAAAGGAAGCCAGUGGUUCCUGCCAUCCAGAAGCCAUUCUAUGCAGGAGGCCACUGCUGCUCCCGCCGGGUCCAGAAGCAGCCCAUAUCUGCUGUAAUCCACACCAGCAAAGCAGAUGCCCUGACACCCGUGGAGCUUGAGACCCUAGCACUGCUACAAGGGAGCUAAAUGGCUCCACGGAUAAGCUUAGCCGUUGAGAGAGACGACAAAAGGACUACUUCUACCUUCUUCCACCUUCCCAAGCAUACACACUUGCAUCUGAUGGGCUGAGGCUAAGUGACAUCAGUAACCCUAGUUGCAGAGGAGUCUGGGAAAUGUAGUUUUUAGCUUUCUAGCCUCUACAACUCAAGUGGGCAUCCAAGAAGGAGAGUGGAAUUGUGUCGGGUGCCAAUGGUUGUUGGGAACCAACCUACCACAUUAGGGCUGCCCCGUUGGCAGAGCUAGCUGCAGGAUGGUGAGUGGAGCUUCUGGGUAGAACAGUUAAUGCUCAGGUGAGGAGUAGGGUGUGGACGUGGCUGAAAGCCAAACUCUCCCAUCCUCUGCCUUUACAGAACCGUGAGCACACCUGCUGUGCAACCCCUCCCUGCCCCAGGAAGCAGCCUUCUUUGCAUGUCCUGUGCUAGGUGGAGUGGGCAGCGCGGCAUGGUUCAAGGCACUGUGGGCAAAGGUUCUGGUUACCCUUUGCCACUGACAACGUGCAAUGAAGCACGCUUCUUCUUCAGUAAACAAGGGUCUGGCCGAGGCCUCUCGUCGCACUUAACAACCUCUAAAUUUAUAAGAAACAGACUCACUUGUGGUCACUUCAUUCCAGAGCUACAUUGGAGAAAUAACAUAUUUCUUUUCAAUAUCAACGUUGUCAAAACCACAGUAGCUGGGUUUGCAUGGUUUCUGGUAAAACGGUGGCUGUUAAAACUAUGUCAGUGCAAACGUGGACAUAAAUAGAUAAUAAAUCCUGAUAGGUCUAUAGGACUGCUAUAUUUAGAUUCAAACCUGUUCACCCUCACAAGAUAAAGCUCCGUUUGAUGGCUCAGCUUCCCAAACCGGGCAAAGGUUCAGAAAUGGAAGGUUUGUGGAUUUCAUUGUGAAGUAAACAGAAAGUAGAGGCAGUAAUCUAGAGUGUCAGUGUUGAUGCUGAAUUUUACUGUUGGAGCCCGGGUCUGCCCCCGCCCCUUCCCCAGUCUUUGGCCCUGUAGAGGUCAGGUGUAACUUCCUGAAUUCUGUUAGCCUGACAUUUCAAGGGCUUAGAGCCAUUUAAAAAAGGUGAAUAUGCAUGCAAUGACCAACGUGUCGGGGCCAACAUUUAGCUUCUGUUUAAGAACUCCUAGGGGCUGAAGUGAUUUUCCUAAGCAUAGGCAAGCCUGGUUGAAGAAACCCAAACGUACAAAUGUUUGAUCAGGGGCUUUAAAUGAGAGUAUUUACAUGGAAAAAUAUCUAGUAUCAUAGCAGGUGGCUUCCUUCUGCAUUUUACAUGAAUAAGCCUCUCUUGGCUCUCCAGAAAUCCACCCUUUAUAGGGCGUGAAGCCCCCCAGAGCAGGCAAAGCUCUCCUCUGGGAAUGUGUAUUUUCUUGGUUGCUUGUGGUAUUUGCUGUUUGUUUUAGGUUCUCAGUUAAGAAGCCAUUGAGAACAAGAGGGGAACUUCAAGUUCAUGUAGCUCAACUCCCCAGUUGGAAAGAGCCAGUGGGAGAAUGAAGUCAAAGCAGGAAAGCCUUGUGGGAGAUCCUGACUGUCAUCUGAUCGUCAGCCGUGCGUGGUCCCCCUCUUGCCCUCGGCCACCUGUGCCUUCAGCUCACCUCUUGGACCUUGAGUUUCUGCAAGUCAGUCAAUUCCUUCCCACUCCCAUUUCACUCCCCCCCCCAGUUUUUUCUUUCUUUGAAGCAACCUGUGUUAUGUUUUCCCAGUGGGUCAGCAUCCUGGACAUUUUACCCAAGUGGCUUGGAGGUAGUCCUGCUUAUCUUAGCUUCUGAAUCUAACCAGUCCUUAAUUAUUAUCAUCACUUGACCAAAUCCCCUUCUCUCUUCUCUCUACCUUCAUCCACACCCACUCCCAGAAAUGGAUAGGUCUUGGCUGGGCCAGGGGUGAGGACCCCUAGGCCAGUGUGAGCACUUUCUCAUCCAGGGCAGCAAGGAUGCCCAGAGAAGCCAGUGGCGGAGGGGUCACAGCAGGAAGCUGUAGGUCCUCCAACCAAAGGAGUCACUGGCAGGUGUUGGAGACAGGAGAUUGGACUUUGAGACAGCAGAGAACAACCUCAAGGGCAGGGCCAGGGAGCUUGGCUUGAGCAGGGUCGCUCCUUCAUGCCAUCAGAGCCAGUGGGGGACUCAGCACGGUGUGCAGUCCAGGAUGAACAUUUGGCACCUGCUGCGAUUUUAGCACUGUGUAUGUGUGCGUAUGUGUGUGCACACGCCUGCAAAAAUGCAAGUGUGUGUGCAGGGACCUACGAGUGACAUGAGGCUCAAGACCCAGUCCUUAGCGAUGGUUUCCAAUCCGUUUGGAAAUACGCGAGACCCAUCUUACACAGCAGGCCGUGUAUUAAGCGCCACAUUAUGGUGGACAGAGAGCUAAACUGGUAAUGAGGGUGCCGCCCAGUUCUAACCCUCUAUCUGUUCCUUAACUUGGCUAUGUGGGCCUCCAUUCGCUCUCCUGUAAUGUGGAGGGAUGGGAGUGAACAGUGACAAACAAAACGAAUCUGAAAAGAAAGGUGACACAGAUGGGGGAGGGUGCACAGAGCAUGUGAAUUUCCACAGAGCAAACAUGGGAAUUUGUGGUAUCGAUACCACCCAAGUCAAGCAAUGGAUCAAUACCAGUGUCCAGAGGCCACUUUCAAUCCCCCUCCAGAUCACUGCAUGCUCUUCUCUCCAGAGGCCGCCACGGUGGUCUCAAUGGUCUGGAAGUCCCUUUCAGCUAUAACAUUGAGUAACCCUACACAUAAUAGGUAUAGACAGAAGACCACCGCGGCACCGGCCAAAGCUGUUAAAAACUGGAACUCUGUUGCAUAAGUUCCUUGACAUAGUUUUACAACAAUGAGUAUGUAGGGCCCAGAUUGUUUCUUUGGCCAUCAGAAUCCUACUUUUUUUUUUUUUUGAACAACUGAGCAUGAUCAACCAAGUUCCUAUAUCUGCGCUCUCCCCUGUGUCCUUGGCUCUGUGGUUCUGAGGUUGUACUCUGGGUCAGAAAAUUCCUGCCUUCAUCCCAAAGUUCAGUACCAAGUACAGAGCUAUUUUUUUCUGGUGGUGCAAAAUUGAGCUGGGUGGGUACAUCAUGGUGCUAAGCUAUUCCUCAGGGCUGCCAAAUUGUGACUUGGCGUGUGUACUUAUGCCCGUAAAAGGUUGCCUUAAGCACAGAGGAAGGGCAAGCAUCGUGAUUACACACACACACACACACACACACACACACACAGAAAGCAUGGCCACCAGUAUGAUACCCACACGAUGCACCCAUUCAAACGAUGUUUGCAAAAGGAAAUGGAUUUGAAAAUUCUUUGAAUGGAAAAAAUGGGGCUGGAUACUGUUCAGAGACAAAUUUGUACACGAGGUUUUACUGAAAAGCUGGUUUCCAGCAAGGCUUAGGAUCGUUUCGCUGUGGCUUUCACUGUAUUAGAGCUUCCUAACCUCUUCCAGUUAGUGACGCAGUUGGAACUUCUGAUCACUCACGAGGGAGCGAGUGACCUUCUUUGUCUCUUUCAAUCUACCCAGCAGGUCGGCCUUGUUGGAUCGCGUCUCCCCUUAUGCUCCCUGCCUUGGUGCUAGAGCACAUCUGGCCACACGUACACACACGUACACGUGCGCGCACACAGACCCCAGCCGCCUUCACUAUCUCUCCGUUCCAGCCCUGGCUACUUCUGCCCAGCAACCAAGCCUGGCCUGUCCCGCGGCCUGCUGGUUGGAAAAAUGUUGAAGAAGACGGUCCUAGGGGUUUCCUUCUGACCCCGAAGCACGGAGACACGGUGCCGGUAAUGUGCUGAAGCUCACACUCCAUGUCUUCCCUGCAAGGACAGAAGUAAUUGUCACCAUAUGGGGCCUUUCAUGCGGGGGGGGGGGGGGUAUCACAUGUGGAGCUGGAGAAGGUGGUAGUUAUAUUGCGUAGUUCGAGGACUAGGGAGUUUCCCAGCUCCUAAACCUCUUCCCUCUUCUCUAUCCCACCUGCCCGUCACAGCAACCAAUGUGCACCUGCUCAGCUCCGCUCCUAUGCACUGUGAAUGAUUUUUGGUCAUCAGGAGUUUCCUACUAAAAGGUGUGCAUUCCAGCCUUUACGGCCAAUACCUCGAAGGGAUCAGACUAGUGAGGAUCUGUGGAGGGGGGCGGCCAGGGGCUAGGGACGGCUUUGCUUCAUAAGAGUUGAUGGAAGGCUGAACGCCAGUAUUGCGACAGGCAGAGGGGGACAUCCUUCUUCCAGGUAAGCACCAGGUACAGAUUGGUAUGGUCUCCCAGCUGGUAGUGGGACUGAGGCUUUCUGGAGCCACGAUCAGGUGCUAAUCCCAGCCAGUUGAAGGCCUGCCAUAGGUGACUUCCUGCCUGUUUGUUACUUGGUGCUUCUAUUUCUCCGUGGCGAGAAAGAAGGCACCCUUCUGGAUUUAUGUGGGUAUAGAGGACGACCUUUGGGGACACACUCAAGCUUGUUCAGUGUCCUCGAUCUGCAUGAAGGAGAGUGCCUCCCCAAUGCAACCUCCUGAUGGGCUCGACGCAAGCCCUUACAAAAACACGAACGUGUUUAAGAGAAGUAAAGCAAAGUCAUUUUUGAAUGUGAGUCCAUGCAAGACUGCAAAUGAAAAUAUAGAGCGAAACUCGAUCAAACCUGGCCCCUCUCUCGCAGGCUUCCUCGGGGGUGGAGGAGAUGUCUGCAGACUGGAAAAUGUAAUUUCAAGGGGGCCUGGAGAGAGACAGCAAUAAAGACCCGUGUGUUUUAUUGCACAUUCUGAGGGGGAAAGGCUUAGGAAGUGCCUUAAUGGAGGAAAUGAGAGAUGGUUCUAGAGGACAGAGCUUGAUAAAAGGAAGGCGGCCCAAGCUCUCAACAGGAGAGGUCAUGCCUCUUUAAUUUGUUGGAAUUCAUGAAGGGUUUGUUGUAGCUGCAGCAAAGCAAAAGUCGUGGGCUGUUCGAGUUUCUAUCUAUCAGUGUUGAUGAAGCAGAGAUGGAAAGACGCUGUAGCUAGUUAUCAAGUAAACAGCGGUGAGCUGAUGAAUGUUUACCGGCUGGCUCCAGGGACGGGGUGGCCCGGAGCCCUGAUCUGUAGUUUUGCCGAUUUCCGUGGUGUAAAUACUCCCACUGUGGCUGACCUCAGGCUGCCCACGUGACGUCACUGAACACAGACCUGGGAAGAGAUACACAGAAUGCGCUCUGGUGAGCUGGUGCGGGCCAGCUCCAGCCCGGCCCGGCCCUGCCCUGCCUGAACAACCCGGUCAGUGGUCAGCUUUUUUUUUCCUUUGGCGUUGAUGUGGGGUCAGGGAGCCAGGAGCCGCCGGUCCGCUUGUCCUUCCUCAGACAGGAGCUGACAGCCUGCUUCAGGAUGGCAGGCCCGGCUGUUUUAGGUAGCACGAGACUUGGGCUGGGGAGGAGAGCCAGAUAUAGGUCCCCCAAUCCAACGCCCCACCCGUGUCUCCUGAAGCUGUGAUUUAAAUUUGUAAUGUUUUAAAAUUAUUCCUGAAGAAUCCGAAAUGCUUCGGAGAAAUUCCGGUAAGCCCAGAGGAUUCUGAGCACAGCAUGGGACGCGCACAGCAAGGGCAUAUUGGGCCUUCAGGGAAAGCUCCCCUUUACUUGAAAUGAACUCUUUUCAGUGACGUGUGAGCUGACCGUGGGUAACAGGACCAACAGGGGUCGUGGGGUCAUCCCCCUCCUAGUCGUGGUCAGUGAAGGUUGUUUAGAAAGGACGGACUCUGGCUUCCCUUGGAACUCCUAUUUGCGUUCCAUAUGUCUUGCAUUUUAAAAAAGUGCAGACCUGAAUUAGAAUGUUCUGUCCUGUUACCCCGAAAGUACAAUCAUACUUGUCAGACCAAACGGGCUCUGUUUAGACCACUUGCGAGGCACCUUUCCUUUGAGUGUAGGGUUUUACUUCUCCAGGCUUUGGAGUACUGGGCAGUUCCCCUCACAGAAGCCAUGAGAAAGGGGAGGUCACAUGCGAGCCCCUUGACCUUUGCAGGGAGAAGCCCUACGUUUUGGGCGUCAGAGAGAAAUUCUGAUUGGACAAAGGCUUCUGUAGCUAAUGAAACAUAAACAACAAAAAACCUAAGCCACCCUCCCCCGGCAAAAAAAAAAAAAAAAAAACCUAAAAACAAACCUAUAAAAAGGAAAAUCUGCUGUUUAAUGGCUUAUUCCUGUUUGGUAUUUUCUCUAAUUUAUCCCAUGCUUACGGGACACUUGUGUCUUUUCAACCUAAAGACUGGAGAGCUAGGAGGUCCAUUAUGCAAUUUAUUCUACAUGUAUUUAUUGCUAAGUGCUGGAAAAAUAAAUAAGACCCAGCGACUCUGUCCUUAAGCUAUUCACUAUUUAGAAAGGCAUGCAGAACCUUGGAGAAAUUGGCACUUAGGUCAGGAGGCAGAGGGGAGCCAUGGGCAGGGUGUGGUCAGGGGCAUGACACAGGCAGAGCUACCUUCUUAGAAACGGGUGUGGGAAGGUGGGUUGGGACCACAGACCAGGAGCAGUGCCCACCCAAGUUUCAGGAUGGAGGUCAUAACAGUCCAUGCUGGUGGAGAUAGUGGGAAGGGAGAGAAGAAGUGAAUAGGGUGUGAGUAGUUUCAUAGAGAGAAACACCAGUGUUAGAGGAAGUAUUCAGAAGGGCAGGAUGACGAGCCCAAUUGAAUGGUCUAGCUUGAGAGGAGACAGGGAGAAAUGGGUAUAUUUUCCAUGAGUGUCUGGUGUUUCUGAACAUCCGUGAGCAUGGGCACCGACAGCUUUUGUUCCAGACUAUCUUUUCAAGGACAUUUGUCUAGCCAACAGCCUUGGAGGAUAGAGAGUGUUGUCCUCUGGAGCAGAAGGUAAGUCUGUUUGCUCUCCAGGACACUCAAGAUAAUGUCUACGUCAAAGGUCAGGCAGCUUUGCCGGCAGCCCAUCAUCAAAAUGAAGCUCACACUGCAUGCUGUGCCCGGAACAAUGACAUCUUUGGUCUCUGAGCCGGGAGUCUCGUGUCUCCUUCCAACAUUCAUGAACCAGUGGCAGGUUAAUGAGUCAGCUUGCAAGUAGGGUGACAUCUCAGACAAUCAACAAUUCUUGACACAUGGCAAUAGGCAAUUAGGUCUAGGUGGGCUUUAGAUAGCAUUUAUUUUAAUUAAAAAAAUUUUUUAAUGCUUAUUUAUUUUUGAGACAGAGACAGUAUAUAUGGGGGAAGGGAAGAGAGAGAGGGAGAUGCAGGGUCCGGAACAGGCUCCAGGCUCUGAGCUGUCAGCACAGAGCCCGACGCGGGGCUCAAACGCACAAACCGUGAGAUCACGACCUGAGCCCAGGUCAGACACUCAACUGACUGAGCCUCCCAGGCACCCCAUUAAUUUUUAUGUUAGAGAUGAGGAAAUUGAAGGCCAAGGUGAUUUGCUCCAGGACACAGAGCAAGCUGGUAACCAAGAAAAGACUUUGUCCCAGGUGCUCCCAACUCCUCUAGAACUUUCUCCACUAUUGCAGGCUGUGCUUUGGCUUAACUGUAGGAGGAGUUUCAGUAGAUGAUGAUGGCAGCGGGAUUUAUGGAGUGCUAUGCCAUGCCAGCCAGGCGCACCUCCAGGAGUUCCACGAGCACUUGAAUCUCAUUUAAACCUCUUCUUCUAUCGUUAUCUCGAGUUUGCAGACGAGGAAACUGAGGCACAUAGAGGCGAAGUGCUGGGUCUGAACCCAGGCAGCCUCGUUCCAGCAUCUGUGGUCUUAAUCGCCAUCCUGUACUGUUGCAGGCUCAUUAAAGUCGGAGAGCCGUGUUGUUGGAAGUGAGCGUGGAAACCUUUCGAAGUUUCUAUUUGUAUUGGAC